UCGUGGUGGGCUGUGUCAAUCAGUGGAGCGAACGAAGAGCGCAAACAUAUUUUGACAGUUUGCUUUACGCUUUUCAGUUUAUAAAUAGUUCGUCGUCAAACCGGCGGAGGAAAUUGUGUAAUUUUGCUCAUGCACAUUAAAUAAAGACAUUUCGGUGGUGGAAAAAUGAGGCGGAAAAUGAAGAAAGCACAGUCCCCGCAUUAUGCAUUACUGGAAUAAAUAUGUGAAACAAAUGCAAUGUAUCCCAAAUAAAUUUAGUGAAAUGUAUUUGACGACAAGUUAAUUAAUUUAAUGCCAAAUUGGUCAGUUCGUUA